GCAGACACAUUCCAGCCAAUCAGCAGCAGACCCUCCCUCCCAGACCCUCCCACCCCCUGACAGCAUCCAUUUUACAUUCAUUGUGAAGCUGCAUUCUUAGUGAGCUGUCCAGGAGGUGGGAGGGUCUGGGAGGGAGGGUCUGCUGCUGAUUGGCUGGAAUGUGUCUG